CCAUCCUCGCGCUCCGCCAUGAUGCUUUCUGCCUCAUCCUCGAGCUCGUCGAGUCGGUGGGGGCCACCACUCGAGCGGCCAGCAUCUCCGCAGCAUCCGCAGCAGCAGCAGCAGCAGAGGGUGCUGCAGGGGAAUGCCCAUUUUAUGUCUCUCCUGCAGCGACCUCGAGAGGGUCCUCCGCUGCCCCAGGUGCCCGCGGACAACGCCGUCCCUGCCCCGCGUGUCGCCGCCCCCUUGCCGGCGCAGGAGCAGCAGCAGCCGUUGCCGUCCCACAAGCCAUCCUUCACUGCGGCCGCUGCGGUCCUCUCGCCGAACGCGUUUGUGCAGGCGCCGCCGCAGCUGCAACGUGAACGCGAGCAUCCGCAGCACCGAAGUGUGCCGGCUGAUGGCACCAGCGCAACAGCGACGAGUCGUGGCGGUGGCGGUGACAUCGACGACUCAUCUUCUGCCCCGAGCGAUGCCAGCGUGCCAGCGUCGUGGCCGUGCGAGAGCUCUGCUCUACCGCACCACGAUGAAGACAGCGGCAGGUCUAGCGACGGCACGUACCAGUUCACCACGACCAGCUCCACGAUGACCGGGCGACGCCCGGUUUCACCCGAACACACUACAUCAGUGAGGUCGAGCGAUGAUACGACGUGCUUGGUUGACCUGCGGCGGCGAGAUGCCGCUCAGGUUGAGAAGUGCGACCGUAGGCGUCCAACAGCGCCGGGUGCCGUCGGCGCCAGCGCCGCUGUUGUGUCACCAUCGUUUUCGACGUCGUCGUGCGGGUGCCCAUCGAAUUGCGCGUGCCGAAGCGACGCAUCAGACGACGACGUCUUUGGCGUUUCGGUUGAUGCUCACGGAAGAGCGAGACCGGCGUGGCGUGUGCGCCCUGCAAGUUGGCCACGCGCGGCCAGCGCCGAUGAGCGACUUGACGCGUGCACGGACUGCAGAGAGAGAGCUGCACAGGACAUGACACGCUGCAGUGACGCCUCCUCGGAGACAGGCACGACACCGCUGCGGCGGAGCAGUGAAGAGGACGGCGACGACCUCUGCAGCUCCUGCCGUCAGCACCGCUGUGAUUGCGGCCAUCCUUCCUUUGAGUGGCGCCGAGCUCAGCGCGGCGACGGUGAGUUUUCACUCAAGCUGUCGAGUCAGGGCAGUUCCGAGGGCGACAGCGGGAGUGGCGAAGACGCUUCGCUGUGUAGUCUCUGCAAAGACGCCGCACGCACACGUGCGGUGCACCAGGCCGGUGCUGCCGCAUUCUUUGCUCACCAAGAGGACCCGUUCAGCGAAGCCGUGCGCGAGGAUAGACGGUGCGCGGGGGUGCCCCCGCUCUUACGCCUUUCUACUCCAUCUUCCUCCGCUUCUACCAAGCGCGGCAGCGCGAGCGACGCCGUGACGAUGGCGCAGCGCGAGCGGGCUGAUCGACGAAUGGUAUACAUGCAGAGCGCCGCCGCACUCGCCAGUGACGCAGGCGGUGAGCGCCGUGGUGCGCACGACGCUGCCGUUGCAGCGGUAAGAGGGCUGGAUCGUUGCACGGGCAGCACGCAGACAGACACCGUCGCCGCAGCUGCGGCGACGGCUACUCUAUCAGAGGAGCAGCGCCGCCUCCACGCGGAGCAAGAGGCGGCGGCGCUGAAGAGCAUCGCUGCUGCUCACGUCGCCGAGGUGACACGGCCACUGCUGCAGGGCGAGCUGGCCAGCUUUGAGGCCCGCGCGGCCGUGCAACAGCAGGCGCGCUUCGAUGUAGUGGAAUCGCAGCUGCGGGUGUACCUUGACGAGUUUCGACAGCGCAUGCAGGAGCUGAGUGAUCUCCAGAUGCAGCAGCAUGCUACUCGGCAAGAAGAAGCGGAAGCGGUACGGCGCGCUGCUGCCCGUGUCGACCGUGCCACCUCCCCGAUGGACAGUGCUCUCAUCGCAGAAGCGGCUGCUUCCACCCCGCAAGCUGCUCCGUCGCCCGUGCCACCACAGCGCACCGUCGGGACACAGCACUCGGACGGAACCCUCGAGUUGUUGACAAUCGUGCGCACAGAGGCCGCGUCAUGGAUGGCGCAGCUGCUUUUCUCCAUCGAAGCCGAGCGACGCGAUGCCGUGAUGCAGGACGAGGCCGAGUCUCGCGACCGGCUCCUACACGUUAUGGAAGAGCCUCGCCGGCGUCAGCUGCUGCGCUAUCAAGCGGAACUGCUCCACUGGCAGCAAGAGUGCGCGGCAGUACGUCACCGAGCCUCCUUCGCGUCCGAUUUACUCGCGCUGGAGCUACGUGAGCGGCUUGUGCGGCAAGAGCUGAAUGAGGAGGCGUCCGUGGCGCGGCGCGAGCUCGGCGAAGCCUUUGAGCGGCAACGCUGCCAAGCUGCGGAGGCGGCGGCGCACUCUCAAGUGAAAGCACUCGAGGACGAGCUCGUCAAGGUGCGAUCGAAGUUGUCCAUUGUUGAAGCCGAACACGCUGACACCCUCGAGCACGCGAAGCAGCUUCGCCUGCAGCUUAUCCACGCGUUGCGCAUGCCUACCGUGACGCUCGUCGAUCGCUCGGGCGUGCCUGCAGCAGCUCGUGGCGCUGGUGAUGCCGCCGCCUCCGCUGCGUACGCCUACGCCAACGCGACGGCAGAAACGGGGCCCGGUGACACGUUGGGCAUGCGUGGAGACACCCAAGGCUGUGCUGAUCGCGCUCUGAAGGCUCACGCUGCUUCAUCGACGGGAUCAGGCACCGGCGUGGCCGCGUGGCACACUGUGCCGAGCGGGAUCCACGAAGGACUGGAGGACUUGCCUGUGCAUCGGCGCUUCGCCCGCGCGCAUCAAGAGGCGCUGCGCGUGACUCGGGCACAGUGCCGCACCGUGUGAUGCCUCUCCCGAUGCCCGGAGCGGUUUUGUCGGGUCUUUUUUUUUGCUUUGCGAUCGGCCGUGGCGCUCGCGCGUGUGCCCGGCGGCUGUCGCCUCCUCAUAGAAGAGCACCAUAGACCGUAACGGAGCGGCAGCGUGCCCGUUCUCCUUUUUUUUUUCUCUCCCCGCCGACGGCAUAAAAGUUUACUCGUAACAGACAGCGGCGUUUGCGUGUGCGAGGACGAACGCCGACGUGACCACCGUUCGCAGCAUGAUGGCAUGGGUCACGUGUAGUAUUAGCGUGCGCGGCUCACCCUCUACGCCCUUCGAAGGGGCACGCUCGCUUCGCCGUCCUUCUUGCCGUGCCGCAUCACCCCCUUCGCGUGCUUCGCCGCUGCCGGCGCACGCUCUUCGAAGGCAAACAGGGG
rnacentral:misc_RNA from 1 species